rnacentral:rRNA from 1 species
GACGAACGCUGGCGGCGUGCCUAAUACAUGCAAGUUGAGCGCUGAAGGUUGGUACUUGUACCGACUGGAUGAGCAGCGAACGGGUGAGUAACGCGUGGGGAAUCUGCCUUUGAGCGGGGGACAACAUUUGGAAACGAAUGCUAAUACCGCAUAAAAACUUUAAACACAAGUUUUAAGUUUGAAAGAUGCAAUUGCAUCACUCAAAGAUGAUCCCGCGUUGUAUUAGCUAGUUGGUGAGGUAAAGGCUCACCAAGGCGAGGAUACAUAGCCGACCUGAGAGGGUGAUCGGCCACAUUGGGACUGAGACACGGCCCAAACGCCUACGGGAGGCAGCAGUAGGGAAUCUUCGGCAAUGGACGAAAGUCUGACCGAGCAACGCCGCGUGAGUGAAGAAGGGUGUCGGAUCGUAAAACUCUGUUGGUAGAGAAGAACGUUGGUGAGAGUGGAAAGCUCAUCAAGUGACGGUAACUACCCAGAAAGGGACGGCUAACUACGUG